GAUGAACGCUGGCGGCGUGCCUAAUACAUGCAAGUCGAGCGAACGGACGAGAAGCUUGCUUCUCUGAUGUUAGCGGCGGACGGGUGAGUAACACGUGGAUAACCUACCUAUAAGACUGGGAUAACUUCGGGAAACCGGAGCUAAUACCGGAUAAUAUUUUGAACCGCAUGGUUCAAAAGUGAAAGACGGUCUUGCUGUCACUUAUAGAUGGAUCCGCGCUGCAUUAGCUAGUUGGUAAGGUAACGGCUUACCAAGGCAACGAUGCAUAGCCGACCUGAGAGGGUGAUCGGCCACACUGGAACUGAGACACGGUCCAGACUCCUACGGGAGGCAGCAGUAGGGAAUCUUCCGCAAUGGGCGAAAGCCUGACGGAGCAACGCCGCGUGAGUGAUGAAGGUCUUCGGAUCGUAAAACUCUGUUAUUAGGGAAGAACAUAUGUGUAAGUAACUGUGCACAUCUUGACGGUACCUAAUCAGAAAGCCACGGCUAACUACGUGCCAGCAGCCGCGGUAAUACGUAGGUGGCAAGCGUUAUCCGGAAUUAUUGGGCGUAAAGCGCGCGUAGGCGGUUUUUUAAGUCUGAUGUGAAAGCCCACGGCUCAACCGUGGAGGGUCAUUGGAAACUGGAAAACUUGAGUGCAGAAGAGGAAAGUGGAAUUCCAUGUGUAGCGGUGAAAUGCGCAGAGAUAUGGAGGAACACCAGUGGCGAAGGCGACUUUCUGGUCUGUAACUGACGCUGAUGUGCGAAAGCGUGGGGAUCAAACAGGAUUAGAUACCCUGGUAGUCCACGCCGUAAACGAUGAGUGCUAAGUGUUAGGGGGUUUCCGCCCCUUAGUGCUGCAGCUAACGCAUUAAGCACUCCGCCUGGGGAGUACGACCGCAAGGUUGAAACUCAAAGGAAUUGACGGGGACCCGCACAAGCGGUGGAGCAUGUGGUUUAAUUCGAAGCAACGCGAAGAACCUUACCAAAUCUUGACAUCCUUUGACAACUCUAGAGAUAGAGCUUUCCCCUUCGGGGGACAAAGUGACAGGUGGUGCAUGGUUGUCGUCAGCUCGUGUCGUGAGAUGUUGGGUUAAGUCCCGCAACGAGCGCAACCCUUAAGCUUAGUUGCCAUCAUUAAGUUGGGCACUCUAAGUUGACUGCCGGUGACAAACCGGAGGAAGGUGGGGAUGACGUCAAAUCAUCAUGCCCCUUAUGAUUUGGGCUACACACGUGCUACAAUGGACAAUACAAAGGGCAGCGAAACCGCGAGGUCAAGCAAAUCCCAUAAAGUUGUUCUCAGUUCGGAUUGUAGUCUGCAACUCGACUACAUGAAGCUGGAAUCGCUAGUAAUCGUAGAUCAGCAUGCUACGGUGAAUACGUUCCCGGGUCU
rnacentral:rRNA from 1 species